rnacentral:rRNA from 1 species
CCUACGGGUGGCUGCAGUGAGGAAUAUUGGUCAAUGGACGUAAGUCUGAACCAGCCAUCCCGCGUGCAGGAAGAAGGCGCUAUGCGUCGUAAACUGCUUUUCCAGGGGAAGAAAACCUGAUACGUGUAUCGGCUUGCCGGUACCCUGGGAAUAAGCAUCGGCUAACUCCGUGCCAGCAGCCGCGGUAAUACGGAGGAUGCGAGCGUUAUCCGGAUUUAUUGGGGCGAAGGGGUAUGAAUAAGGAUGCAUAGAAAACCUUCAGCUUAACUGGAGACUUGCCAUUGAUACUGUUAGUCUUGAGUACGGUCAAGGUAGGCGGAAUGUGUAAUGUAGCGGUGAAAUGCUUAGAUAUUACACAGAACACCGAUUGCGAAGGCAGCUUACUGGGCCAUUACUGACGCUGAUGCACGAAAGCGUGGGGAGCGAACAGGAUUAGAUACCCGAGUAGUC